rnacentral:rRNA from 1 species
CAGCCGCCGCGGUAAUACGAAGGGUGCAAGCGUUACUCGGAAUUACUGGGCGUAAAGCGUGCGUAGGUGGUGGUUUAAGUCCGUUGUGAAAGCCCUGGGCUCAACCUGGGAAUUGCAGUGGAUACUGGGUCACUAGAGUGUGGUAGAGGAUAGUGGAAUUUCCGGUGUAGCAGUGAAAUGCGUAGAGAUCGGAAGGAACAUCUGUGGCGAAGGCGACUAUCUGGGCCAACACUGACACUGAGGCACGAAAGCGUGGGGAGCAAACAGGAUUAGAUACCCCGGUAGUCCCUGUCUCUUAUAA